rnacentral:rRNA from 1 species
CCUACGGGAGGCUGCAGUGGGGAAUAUUGGACAAUGGGCGAAAGCCUGAUCCAGCCAUGCCGCGUGUGUGAAGAAGGCCUUCGGGUUGUAAAGCACUUUCAGUGAGGAAGAAAGCCUUGGGGCUAAUACCCUCGAGGAAGGACAUCACCCACAGAAGAAGCACCGGCUAACUCCGUGCCAGCAGCCGCGGUAAUACGGAGGGUGCGAGCGUUAAUCGGAAUUACUGGGCGUAAAGCGCGCGUAGGCGGUCUGAUAAGCCGGUUGUGAAAGCCCCGGGCUCAACCUGGGAACGGCAUCCGGAACUGUCAGGCUAGAGUGCAGGAGAGGAAGGUAGAAUUCCCGGUGUAGCGGUGAAAUGCGUAGAGAUCGGGAGGAAUACCAGUGGCGAAGGCGGCCUUCUGGACUGACACUGACGCUGAGGUGCGAAAGCGUGGGUAGCAAACAGGAUUAGAUACCCCAGUAGUC